rnacentral:rRNA from 1 species
UACGUAGGUGACAAGCGUUAUCCGGAUUUAUUGGGCGUAAAGCGCACGCAGGCGGCUCUUCAAGUCUGACGUGAAAUCUCUCGGCUUAACCGGGAGCGGUCGUUGGAAACUGAAGGGCUUGAGGCGAUGAGAGGGGUGUGGCGAAUUCCCGGUGUAGUGGUAGGUCGAAUGCGAUGAGAUAUCGGGAGGAACAUCAGUGGC